CGAACUAGUCAUGCAGUUAAAGUCAAUACUGUGUGCUCUCCAUCCAUUGAUCUUAGCUACUUCUGUUCUCAGAAGUAUGCAACCACUACACAUUCUCCCUAUGCUACUUUUGUUCCUAGAAGUACCAUCCACAUAUAUACGUACUACAUUCUGUGUUGUUUCUAUCCUAGAGACACGCACCUAUGCUACUCCUACCCUAGGAGUAUGCAUUCACACAUCCACUCAGAACAUGUUCUUCUCCUACAUUGGAAGAGGACACCCAAAAAUAUUCAUUGCCAUUAAUAUCUUUUCUACUUAUCCAAUAAAGCUCUAGUUAUUUUAGUUGAUACUUCUGAUUGCUAUUAGUGCAUUAAAAGGAUUGGCUAUUAAAAAAGAGAAAAGAAAAGAAAGAGGACAAAAGUCCUAAAAGAAAGAAAUAAAAAGCAGCCAAGUCCUUAUUUUCAGACUAGGGAAGUACGUUAUCCCAAAGGAGCAAUAAUAGAAUUAGAUUUUCACCAUCAGUCAUCACCCCUCAUUAUCACCAUCAUUCUAAUCACUCAUUCAUUGCACUCACAUGCACAUAUGAGUUGAUUGUAUAAUUAGUUUCUCUGGAUCACGGUUUAAUUAUGCAAUGCAUGCAACUAGGUUUGAAAUGUCUCCUCCACCUAUAAGCACCACAUAAGCCUAUUAGAAGUAGGACGAGAGAGAAAAGGUAAUAUCACUAUGCCUUAGUCCUACAGAUACCACAUAUUCUGAGAGAAGAGAGAAGGCAUAUUUUACAUGUGCCUUGAGAGGAUCCAUAAAUACCACAAAUGAGACUUGAUAGAAUCAUACAAGGAAUAUCUAAGUUUUAUUUGAAAAUCUUGCAAAAACUCUGGAAUAAUAGUUGAUCAAAGGGCGAGAAACAUAGUGCUUGACUGAACCGUUAUGUCUUUCAACUACUCAAGAACUAACAGAAGGCUAUAAGCUCCACGGUAAAAGGUAAUAUGGGUGAGUCUUGAGAUAGAAUAGUUUACUC
rnacentral:lncRNA from 1 species